rnacentral:rRNA from 1 species
CUACGGGUGGCAGCAGUCGAGAAUUUUUCACAAUGGGGGAAACCCUGAUGGAGCGACGCCGCGUGGGGGAUGAAUGGCUUCGGCCCGUAAACCCCUGUCAUUUGCGAACAAAUUGGUUCAAUUAAUAGCUGAACCAUUGAUAGUAGCGGAAGAGGAAGGGACGGCUAACUCUGUGCCAGCAGCCGCGGUAAUACAGAGGUCCCAAGCGUUGUUCGGAUUCACUGGGCGUAAAGGGUGCGUAGGCGGUCGGGUAAGUCUGAUGUGAAAUCUCACAGCUUAACUGUGAAACUGCAUUGGAUACUAUUCGGCUUGAGGUUUGGAGGGGGGACUGGAAUUCUUGGUGUAGCAGUGAAAUGCGUAGAUAUCAAGAGGAACACCAGUGGCGAAGGCGAGUCCCUGGACAAAUCCUGACGCUGAGGCACGAAAGCUAGGGGAGCAAACAGGAUUAGAUACCCUGGUAGUCCUAGCUGUAAACGGUGCUUAUUUGCUGUAAAAGGAAUCGACCCCUUUUGUGGCGUAGCAAACGCGUUAAAUAAGCCGCCUGGGAAGUACGGUCGCAAGAUUAAAACUCAAAGAAAUUGACGGGGGCCUGCGCAAGCGGUGGAGUACGUUGCUUAAUUCGAUGCAACGCGAAGAACCUUACCUGGCCUUGACAUGCAAGUAGUAGAAGGAUGAAAGUCUAACGAUCCCGCAAGGGAAGCUUGCACAGGUGCUGCAUGGCUGUCGUCAGCUCGUGUCGUGAGAUGUUGGGUUAAGUCCCGCAACGAGCGCAACCCCUGUGUCCUGUUGCCACCCGGCCGAGAGGCUGGAGCACUCUGGACAGACUGCCUCGCUUCAACGAGGAGGAAGGUGGGGAUGACGUCAAGUCAGUAUGGCCCUUACGGCCAGGGCUGCACACGUACUACAAUGCCCGGCACAAAGGGAAGCAAGACCGCGAGGUGGAGCAAAUCCCCAAAAACCGGGCCCAGUUCAGAUUGUUGUCUGCAACUCGACAGCAUGAAGCUGGAAUCGCUAGUAAUGGCGCAUCAGCUACGGCGCCGUGAAUACGUUCCCAGGCCUUGUACACACCGCCCGUCACAUCAUGAAAGCCGUUUGUACCCGAAGUCGCCCCUUGAAAGGUGCCGAAGGUAUGGAUGGUGAUUGGGAUGAAGUCGGAACAAGGUAGCCGUAGGGGAACCUGCGGCUG